GUGCUUACUUUGGCAGCACGUAAACUAGAACUGGACAUGACCGAGAAGAUUACCACAGCCCCCGAACAAAGAUGACAUGCAAAUUCAUAAAGCCUUCCAUGUUUUU
ensembl:snRNA U6 U6 spliceosomal RNA